rnacentral:sRNA from 1 species
CUCUCGCGGUUUUCCUGCCUCAAAACUCCGGAAACUUAAGCAGCAUCCCCACGAAGUCCGGCACAGAUCCGGAGGCACAAAGGAGGUAGGACAAUGGCUAUCGGAAGAGUUAAGUGGUUCAACGACGCCAAGGGUUUUGGGUUCAUCGAGCAGGACAAUGGCGAGGAUGUGUUCGUACAUUUCUCCGCCAUCCAGCAGGAUGGUUUCAAGUCCCUCGCCGAGGGUGAGCAAGUUUCCUUCGACGUGGUGAAUGGCCCCAAGGGGCUUCAGGCCGCCAACGUCAAGAAGGCCUAAACAAGGCCCUCAUAGCUUAACCGACAAAAAGCCCGCUGGUUCAUCCAGCGGGCUUUUUG